rnacentral:rRNA from 1 species
CAUGGCGGACGGGUGAGUAACGCGUAAAGAACUUGCCCUUUAGACUGGGAUAACAGAGGGAAACUUCUGAUAAUACUGGAUAAGUUAGUAUAUCGCAUGAUAUGCAAAUGAAAGCUACGGCACUAAAGGAGAGCUUUGCGUCCUAUUAGCUAGUUGGUAAGGUAAGAGCUUACCAAGGCGAUGAUAGGUAGCCGGCCUGAGAGGGUGGACGGCCACAAGGGGACUGAGAUACGGCCCUUACUCCUACGGGAGGCAGCAGGA